rnacentral:rRNA from 1 species
GACGAACGCUGGCGGCGUGCUUAACACAUGCAAGUCGAGGGCGGGGAGCAAUCCCCGACCGGCGAACGGGUGCGUAACACGUGAGCGACCUGCCUGGAAAUGGGGGAUAGCCGGCCCAACGGCCGGGUAAUACCGCAUACGCUCUUUGGGGGGCAUACCCUGGAGAGGAAACUUUCGAGGUUUUCAGAGGGGCUCGCGGCCUAUCAGCUGGUUGGCGGGGUAAUGGCCCACCAAGGCGACGACGGGUAGCUGGUCUGAGAGGAUGCCCAGCCACAUUGGGACUGAGAGACGGCCCAGACUCCUACGGGAGGCAGCAGUGGGGAAUCUUGCGCAAUGGCCGAAAGGCUGACGCAGCGACGCCGCGUGUGGGAGGACGCCCUUCGGGGUGUAAACCACUGUUGCCCGGGACGAACCUGGCCUUUCGAGGCCACUGACGGUACCGGGUGAGGAAGCACCGGCUAACUUCGUGCCAGCCGCCGCAGUAACAC